rnacentral:rRNA from 1 species
UGGGGAAUCUUGCGCAAUGGGCGAAAGCCUGACGCAGCAACGCCGCGUGAGCGAAGACGGCCUUCGGGUUGUAAAGCUCUGUCAGGAGGGACGAAGCCACUCGGGUGAAUAGCCCAGAGGGUGACGGUACCUCCAGAGGAAGCCCCGGCUAACUACGUGCCAGCAGCCGCGGUAAUACGUAGGGGGCGAGCGUUGUCCGGAAUCAUUGGGCGUAAAGCGCGUGUAGGCGGCCGACCAAGUCCGAUGUGAAAGCUCGGGGCUCAACCCCGAGUCUGCAUUGGAAACUGAUCGGCUAGAGUCCGGAAGAGGAGACUGGAAUUCCUGGUGUAGCGGUGAAAUGCGCAGAUAUCAGGAAGAACACCGGUGGCGAAGGCGGGUCUCUGGGACGGUACUGACGCUGAGACGCGAAAGCGUGGGGAGCAAACAGG